AUAUUAUAUUGAUCACAGGGUACAGGAGAUACUGACUGUCAUUUUAAAAUUAAGAAGAACUUGGAAAAUGCAUCUAUAAGCCUAGAAUCCAUGAAAAGCCCAGGAUUGUUUGUUGGACUUCAGCCAGAUGGACAGGCAAAACCAGUUAUUUAUACUAAGAAUGGGAAUGUUUUCUUCUAUCCGCAGGUCAUCAAAUUUGGCAGAGAAAACCCAAUGGGUAUGUCAGCAACACCCAGCCAAGAGGAGGAAAAAAUCCAUGAGUCAAAAAACCAGCAAGAAACACUACCAGAAUCUGAGGCCAAGUGUUCCUUACUUUCUUCAGCUGCAAGUAAGCAAGUCCCCCCCCCCUUCUUUUGAUUUGUCUGCAUUGCUUCUUUGCGGCCACCUUAGGAAGAA
rnacentral:lncRNA from 1 species